UCUUAGCUGAUGUUUGUCAAGAAGACGCCCUACGUAAUCCGAGUAAUGUUAUUGAUUCUGAGUAUAGUGACAUCUCAGUUGAUGUUUGUCAAAAAGACGCCCUACGUAAUCCGAGUAAUGUUAUUGAUUCUAAGUAUAGUACCAUCUUAGGUGAUGUUUGUCAAGAAGACGCCCUACGUAAUCCGAGUAAUGUUAUUGAUUCUGAGUAUAGCGACAUCUUAGUUGAUUUUUUCAAGAAGACGCCCUACGUAAUUCGUGUGAUGUUAAUGGUUCUGAGUAUAGUGACAUCUUAUUUGAUGUUUGUCAAGAAGAAGCCCUACGUAAUCUGAGUAAUGUUAAUGGCUCUGAGUAUAGUGACAUCUUAGUUGAUGUUUGUCAAGAGGACGCCCUACGUAAUUCGAGUAAUUCUAUUGGCUUUGAAGAUAAUGACGUAUUAGUUGAUGUUAGUGCAUACGGUGACAAUAGAAAUUCAAUUAAUUCCAUUGUCUCUGAAGAUAAUGACGUAUUUGUUGAUGUUAAUGCUGACAGCGACAUUAGAAAUUCAAUUAAUUCUAUUGGCUCUUAAGAUAAUGACGUAUUUUUUGAUGUUAGUGCAGACAGCUACAUUAGAAAUUCAAUUAAUUCUAUUGGUUCUGAAGAUAAUGACGUAUUUUUUGAUGUUAGUGCAGACAGCUACAUUAGAAAUUCAAUUAAUUCUAUUGGCUCUGAAGAUAAUGCCGUAUUUUUUGAUGUUAGUGCAGACAGCUACAUUAGAAAUUCAAUUAAUUCUAUUAGCUCUGAAGAUAAUGACGUAUUUUUUUAUGUUGGUUCUCGUGAUAUCCUUAGUUUUUCUAGUAAUCUAGAAUUCGAUAUUUCAAUUCAGUUAUCUAGGUGUGUUGUUCCUCUCAAUGAGCCUUAUGCUGAUACAGUCAGGAAUUAUGAAGUUUUGAACCCUAAUGAUUUUAUUCGACUUUCUAGAUCUGUUGUUCCAUAUGAUUUGAUUGAUAACAAUAUUGAUACAUCUCGAGGUAUAGAAGACUUGGGGCUGAGAGGAAAUUUAGUGAUAUAUGAAGAUACCGAAUUUUUCUUAUCUCAAUGAAAUUGAAAUUAAAGGGUUACUUCGGUAGAAAACAAAAUGUUAGAGAAAAUAUAUUUCAUGUUUAUAAUGUAUAAUUAAUAAAUUAAUCAACAAACUAUUUCGUGUAUAUAGAGAGAGUACACUACCCUGGAAAGAUCUAACUUCAAGAUUUCAUUGAACUUGAAAGAGCGUACAUGAACACAGAUCGCUUGAGUAAGGUUUAAUGAAAGGUAGACAACUCUUACAUGCCGUUAGUAUAAUUUUAAAUAAAAUGUAAAAUAGUCAAACAUCUAAAUUAAAUGUAAUAUACACUACAUGAUUUUUAAAAUCAUCAUUUUUUGGCUUGAGUAAUAUGAAUUAACUGCUUUACUUCUAUUUGAUAAUAUAAUAUUCUAGGCCGCGUUUUACAAACUAACCAAUAAUGAUUACUAGUCAUAAGCUCAGAUGCUUUAAUUUGUUUGAUAAAAACGGUAUGAAUUUUACCGUUGAGGAUUAUUCUAUAAGACUAUAACAGUUUUGACUUUGUCUUUUCGUAAAACACAGCCUUCGUUGACAUUUUGCGCGUUUAAUAUAAAUUUUAUAUUACUUUAGAGCAAAACCCACUUUUUCAUCCAGACAAAAGAAGCUAAAUAUUGAAUUAAAAGAUGCUCUUAUUUCCUUUUUUCAAGUUUACUGCGAAUUUCCGAUUGACAGCUUAGAGAGCUGUAAACAAAAGAUAAAUGCAGAUAGUAUUUGAUUGGCGCAAAACUUUUGAUCAUGGGUUAUAUUCUUAGUAAGAUCAUAUAAAACCUCUUCUUAAUCGCAAAAAGUUCACUUAAUAUGAUUUAAUAUGAUUACUUUGCUUAGUUUACAUUGAAGAAAUAACUGAUUGACUAUCAUAAUGACCCUAAAUAUAUUUACAAGCGAAUGAGUCUUUCCAGCCUCAGGUAGGCUUCUGUUUAUAUUUUUUUUCAUUUCAAAGGGGGAAUGUCAUGAUGUUUUAUUUCUAUAUUUUUGCACAACUCAUAUAUUUUUUAUAGUUUUUUUUUCUAGAUAAGCUGUAGUUAAACAUUGUCAACAUAGAAUUAUCAAUUUAAUUUUUGUAAAUGUCAAUAAAUGUUAUCAUAUGAAGUUGUUUAGUGGUGGAGGGUGAUGUUCAUGUGAAAAAAUAAGGAAGGUGUUUGCCAGUCUUCAUUUUCGUAGUUUCGAGAAAGACAGUCAUCUGAGAAAGCAAUAAUAACGAACUUUACCCUGCCAGGUUUUGUUGGAGGAAAUUUGAAAGUAAGUGAAAUAUAGGUAGAUAUUUUAAUAAAAUUUGAGCAUUUAAUAUGAGAGUAAACUUAAUAUAAUUUUGGAAAAUACAAAUGUAGAUGUAGAUUAUUAUAUUUAGAGACCUCAAUUUACUCACACACUAUUUUCUUUCUCUGUAUUUAGCUCACCGUUCUAGAUUUGUCUUCAUUUUCUCAAUUUCGAAUGAGGCAGUCCCCUGAGAAAGUGAAACAUCUCCGAUAUGCCACAUUUGUUUACACAAAUACACAAUUGCGGUUUCUUUUCUAUUUUCUCAAUUUCGAAAAAACCAGUUUUGUGAGAAAAUGAAACAGAUAAAACCGUUAACAAUAACCAUUUUCGCUUUCAUACGCCAGAACAAAAGAUCAAUAGAUUCAGAGAUUCCUUAAGAGUUGGAACUAGAUCUAGAAAGUGUCAUCAAGAAAGACAGAUCAUGAAACAAAUUUGCUCUCUAUGUGUUGAUUUUACGUUUUGAACAAUCAUAUAUGUUUAUUUCCUUAUUAUAGGGUUCGUUAAUCGUUUGCAUCUUCUGAAAUUUGUCUUAAAAAUUGUUUUCGUUUUUCACCUUAACAAUUAAAGUUCUAUAUAUGCUUAUAAUAACAGUUUAUACAUUGAACAUUAUACUUUAAUAAUUUAAAGCAUAUAACGGUAUGUAAUAUUUAAGGGCUGUGUUAUUAUUGAAUAUUCUGUACGUUUGAAAUGUUUGUGAUUACUUAUUUUAAUGUUUGUUUUGGUGUCAACACAAUAUCUGUCAUAUCCACUUUAAAGGAAGUAUUAUCACAGCCAUAUAACUUGUAUUUAACUUUUUCCCCUUUGCAUAUUGUUUUUGAAAGGUUUUCCUACUAUAUCAUACUUAUUUCUCCUGUCUCCGGAAAAAUACUUUCAAGACCUA